CGUGGGUAACCUGCCCAAGAGAUCGGGAUAACACCUGGAAACAGAUGCUAAUACCGGAUAACAACAGAUGAUGCCUAUCAACUGUUUAAAAGAUGGUUCUGCUAUCACUCUUGGAUGGACCUGCGGUGCAUUAGCUAGUUGGUAGGGUAACGGCCUACAAAGGCGAUGAUGCAUAGCCGAGUUGAGAGACUGAUCGGCCACAUUGGGACUGAGACACGGCCCAAACUCCUACGGGAGGCAGCAGCC
rnacentral:rRNA from 1 species